CAGGGGGUAGUUUAUAUAAAAUAUUAAUUUUGGAGAUUAAUGAAAAAGAAUAUCUUUUCUCUUGA
rnacentral:tRNA from 1 species